UAUAUAUAAUAAAUAAUAAAGGAAGCUGAUAUCUCGCCUUAUAACACCAUAAUUGUAGAGAUUUUCUUGUAAAUGAAAAACACGCUAUAUUUAAUUCCACUUAAAAUAUAAAUCACCGCACGUGUGUAGUAAAUAAUCUUCUAAAUUUUAUUCACAGGAAACAUCAAGCGUAUACGAUGAAUAAUGAAACAACGAAGAUUCAGCAGUAUGGACAUGUGUCAGUUAAACGAGGAGCCAGAAGAUUACAUCAAGAAUCCUUCCAGCGGAUGCCUCACGGACAUCCACGGCGGCAAAAAUGAAGCGAGACAUGCGUUUAAGGCAGUUAAAACGUCCCGCUGUUCUGCGUAAAAGGCGAGUGAAAGAGAGAUAAAAAUGUGCACGCGAGCCGAAUGACAUCAGCCGUGAAUAAAAUAUUAGGAUACGAUGGUUGUGCUGCUUCUACAGCUAUCUUCCUGCUCGUCGAUAACUUUCGACAGCGAAUUCUCGAAGGAAAUUCUGCCUGAUCCGUACAGCUGGCCAUUUUGUCCCCGGAGGUGACCGAGAAGAUGAAGAGUAUUGGAUGGACGAGUACAUGGGAGGAGGUUCCAGCUAUUUUCUCGAGGAAGAUCCACCAGAGGCGAGUGAUUCAUCCUCGAUGACGCAAGAUGAACGAAACGUGGAUUAAUCGCAUGAAAACGCUAGCAAGGUCCGUCGUAGACGAGCGUCAAAUCUGCUGAAAAGAAUAUUUCGUAUCAUAAAUAAUUACGAGGUUUCUUCGAUGGCUGAUUUCAGUUUAAAACGCAGAGCAUUGAGUAUUCUGGUUUAACCCCUGAAAGCUAUCGUCAAAGAAAAUCGUCUGCUUUUUCCUCUCGUUUCAAGAAUCAAUAAAAUCGAGAAGAUGUAAGUAAUUAAUUAAUUAGCGUUUUAGUAUCAUUGGAUAUUAAGCAAAGAAUAGAAAAAUUAUUGCUCGUGAUGGUCUCGUUAUGGGAUGGUAAUAUUAGAAGAAAAUUUAUAUGAAAUUUCGCUCAUAAUAGCCUUUAGGGGUUGAAGUUUGUAAAGGCCAAGGAAAAUUAGCUCACUUUUAUCUGGAAACCUCAAUUUCGCGCACCAUAAAGCCUCUGGGCUCACGUACGACAAGUUAUCGCUUCCACACACCGGAAAUCGGAGACUUUCCUCGGGUAUGGAUCUGCAGGGGUUGUCGUCAGGGUCGACGCAGGCUCCAGAAUGCUUCAGGGACAAAUCUGCGAAAGAAAAAUGAAGUAACAGCGCUUGUCUACUUGGAAAUCCUUUGCGCGUAUAUUAUACGUGUUAUGUAAAACGUUUUGAAAAUUCAUGGCCAGUGUAGCGAGACACGACUAUCGUGAUUACGAUGGGAAAGUUUGAAACAAACCUGAGAACGUAUGUAUAGAAGCUACAAAAUGUUCGAUACAAGUAUAUAUCUCGCAGAAGUGACAAAAGUUUUAAACGAUUAAUCGUUCAUUGUAUCGAGUUAUUUGAAAAGUUCAUAGCGUUUUUAUUAGAAAUUUCUGCCAAAUAAUGAAACGUACGAACGAGCAUGUACUACUUUUAAUUGGAUAUGGCAAAGCAGUGAUUUUCAA